rnacentral:tRNA from 1 species
GGCUGUAUAGCUCAAGUGGUAGAGCACAGGUAUGAGGUUCUGGGUUCAAUCCCCGGUACCUCCU